rnacentral:lncRNA from 1 species
GAGAUGUCAUCUGCUCAUUGCUUUCAUUCAACCCGACUCAAAUAGAAAGAUUGUUGAAUUUAGAAGUAUACUCCUCCAUCAUUAAUCCUCUUUGCCUUAUUGAAUGUAGCUUCUCAUACAACUCUAUAGCAUAAUCUGUUGGUAGGAACUGCUUGCGCAAUUUUGCUUUCAUGUAUUUGUAAUGGGCCAAUUUUACCCGGCCUAGAGUAAAAAACAAAACAAAAAAAAAAAAAACAGAUAAAUUAAAAAUAAACAAAUCUUAUAAACCCAAACUAAGCCCAAUAUAUAUCACCUAACCUAAAACCCUAAUACCCAAUAACCCAAAGCCCACAACCUAAACUUUUUCAAAAAAUUAAAAAACCCUAGACCCCCUAUGCGCCACUGCUCCUGGCCACGUCAGUGAAUGCGUCGCCCGAGGACUGCCUCCCCCACCAUCGUUGCACCGAAAUGGCAACGGUGUCACUCUCAUCGUCGUUGACCACAAACACCUACAAAGAAAAAAAGAAAACAAG